AUUGAACGCUGGCGGCAGGCCUAACACAUGCAAGUCGAGCGGAUGAAGGGAGCUUGCUCCUGGAUUCAGCGGCGGACGGGUGAGUAAUGCCUAGGAAUCUGCCUUGUAGUGGGGGAUAACGUCCGGAAACGGGCGCUAAUACCGCAUACGUCCUGAGGGAGAAAGUGGGGGAUCUUCGGACCUCACGCUAUCAGAUGAGCCUAGGUCGGAUUAACUAGUUGGUGGGGUAAAGGCCUACCAAGGCGACGAUCCGUAACUGGUCUGAGAGGAUGAUCAGUCACACUGGAACUGAGACACGGUCCAGACUCCUACGGGAGGCAGCAGUGGGGAAUAUUGGACAAUGGGCGAAAGCCUGAUCCAGCCAUGCCGCGUGUGUGAAGAAGGUCUUCGGAUUGUAAAGCACUUUAAGUUGGGAGGAAGGGAAGUAAGUUAAUACCUUGCUGUUUUGACGUUACCAACAGAAUAAGCACCGGCUAACUUCGUG
rnacentral:rRNA from 1 species